UUACCCUUUCAUCAAAGGGAGGGCCCAAGUUAAUGCAUUGCAACAUCAGUUAUCAGUAUCAGUUACACCUCGCUGAGAGGCCUAUAGAAGGCUAAAACAAUUGUCUGGGGCUGCUGUAUCUCUCCGGAAAAGCAAACUUGCUGGAAUUUCAGUUCUGGACUGCCCAGUGGCAGAACUAAUAUACUAAGAGCCCUGUGUGGCAAAAGGUAGUUCCCUAUCUGUCGUACAAUUCUCAGGAAACUAAGUCUGCUGAGAAUCUGUUUAUUGCCCAUCCCUGUAGGGUUGUAUUUGUGAGCAGUGUUUGUUUGAAUGUAGUAAUGUUUUUGUAUGGAG